GUCUAUGGCCAUGCCACCCUGAAUAAACCCAAUGUCUGAUCUCGGAAGAUAAGCAGGGUCGGGCCUGGCUAGUACCUGAAUGGGAGACCACCUAAGAAGACCAGUUGCUGUAGGCA
rnacentral:rRNA from 1 species